rnacentral:lncRNA from 1 species
AUGGUCGGGAUAGAUCAUGUUGGUCGGGGAUUCUCAGUUCAAUGGAGAACCAGUGUCUCCCACCUGUCCAGAGUGCUGUUUUCUUCCUGGAAUGGCGUGGUACCAGUGAGAAAUGCCAGUACUGUUGAGAUAUCAGACAUGAAUCCUUCGAACUGAGCUUCAAUGAAGUUGCAGGAAGAUAUUGAGCUAUUGCAAGAAUAACCCAUCUGAUUCAACUUGAAAAGUGUUGAUAAUUAUCAACUUGCAUAUUGGAUGCAUUUUCUGAUUUUCAUUUGUCAUUUCAUAUUGGCACAUUCCUUCAAUAUUCUCAUUUCCCAUAUCAUUAGACUUGCUUUUAAAAACUACAACAUAUGUUCAGUUCUAUAUACAACAUGCCAAGCUAAUUUGCAAUAUCUGUGAGUGCUGCUUCAUUUUUUUCCUUGCAGAACUGGCUUGUUUUCUCUAUUUUUAUGUAUGAAUGAGCUGUUUGCAUGCCAAUGCACAAUACGGAUUGUAGGGGCAGCAAUGCAUCCAUCCAUCCAUCCAUCUAUCGAUCUAUCUAUUUCUAUAUGUAUCUUGGUACAGUUAUAAUACGGGUUGUGAAAUUGAGGA